ACACUCCUGCGGGAGGCAGCAGUAGGGAAUCUUCGGCAAUGGGGGCAACCCUGACCGAGCAACGCCGCGUGAGUGAAGAAGGUUUUCGGAUCGUAAAGCUCUGUUGUAAGUCAAGAACGAGUGUGAGAGUGGAAAGUUCACACUGUGACGGUAGCUUACCAGAAAGGGACGGCUAACUACGUGCCAGCAGCCGCGGUAAUACGUAGGUCCCGAGCGUUGUCCGGAUUUAUUGGGCGUAAAGCGAGCGCAGGCGGUUUGAUAAGUCUGAAGUUAAAGGCUGUGGCUCAACCAUAGUUCGCUUUGGAAACUGUCAGACUUGAGUGCAGAAGGGGAGAGUGGAAUUCCAUGUGUAGCGGUGAAAUGCGUAGAUAUAUGGAGGAACACCGGUGGCGAAAGCGGCUCUCUGGUCUGUAACUGACGCUGAGGCUCGAAAGCGUGGGGAGCGAACAGGAUUAGAUACCCGUGUAGUCC
rnacentral:rRNA from 1 species